rnacentral:lncRNA from 1 species
AAUGUUUUACCUGUUAUUUAUCUUAGAUCAUCACUUAAUCAUCCUGAUCUACUUUACUAAAAUUCAAAAAAAUACAAAGAGUAGAACUAACAGUUUGAUCAGCUAAAACCAUUUCUAAUGUUUCAUCAGCGUAAGGUGGGUUUUGUAUCCAUGAGUGAAUCAGUUUUACUUGAACAUGCCACACUUCCUUAAAGGGUUUAAGAUCGCUGAUCAAAUGAAAUCUUUUGUUAGCAGACAUGAUUUUUUUGUGAGGUAAGUCGUAAAAGAAUG